GGAGAAUAUUAGAAAUUCUUAAUGUUCCAUUCCAUCCCCAGCAAUUCCAGCCAAGGAUGGCUGGAAAGGCUUUCACCCGCCACGGAUGGCGGAUUGAAAGCCGUUUGCGUCAGGAACUAUUAUCCCACCCAUGGAACAUUUAGAAUUUCUUAUCUUCGCAA
rnacentral:ncRNA from 1 species